CCGAGUGCACUACACUUUCAUAAUUGGUCGGGCUAAUUUGUGGCCGCCAUUAAAUUUCACGAAGAUUGCUUCCCUCUGAGAUUAUUUAUGUCGGUAUUAUGCAAUCGUGAAAACUCUACCAAAUUGUUUAUACAACGGGGUGUAUUGACGCAUUUAAUUUUGUUUUUUUUAUUCCGGGUAAAUUUUAGGAUGAGAAUAGUCGCAGUCCCUAUUUUUUUUAUGACUGAUGCCAAUGAAGAAGGAAAGUACAGAGGAAUUCAAAAGUGUCAGACCAACUCAGAAGACUGUUAGAAGCAUAAAAAUGAAUUCAGAUGUUUUUCAAGCCUUUUUUGAGAAAAAACCAAACUGUCAAUUUCAAUAUUACCACGUCUCUGAUCUAUGUCGCAAGAUCUGCCGUUUUCGCUAACUAAACUCAAGAAAACAUUAUCUUAACGGCCAAAAACUAAUCUGUGGAAAAAAGCUCAAACAAAUUUUUUCUAGGAACUUUUAACUCAGUUGGAUGUCCUUUAUCACCACCCAAGAGAUGG